GCAUUUGUGGUGUAGUUGUAGUAACACGAGUCCCUGGUAUGUAUGGGGCGCUGGUUCGAUCCCCGCGUGAAGCU